CCUACGGGGGGCAGCAGUGGGGAAUAUUGCACAAUGGGGGAAACUCUGAUGCAGCGACGCCGCGUGCGUGAAGAAGUAUUUCGUUAUGUAAAGCUCUAUCAGCAGGGAAGAAAAUGACGGUACCUGAGUAAGAAGCCACGGCUAACUACGUGCCAGCAGCCGCGGUAAUACGUAGGGGGCAAGCGUUAUCCGGAUUUACUGGGUGUAAAGGGAGCGUAGACGGCAGUGCAAGUCUGGAGUGAAAGGCCGGGGCUCAACCCCCGGACUGCUCUUGAAACUGUACGGCUGGAGUGCAGGAGAGGUAAGUGGAAUGCCUAGUGUAGCGGUGAAAUGCGUAGAGAUUAGGAGGAACACCAGUGGCGAAGGCGGCUUACUGAACUGUAACUGACGUUGAGGCUCGAAAGCGUGGGGAGCAAACAGGAUUAGAUACCCUAGUAGUC
rnacentral:rRNA from 1 species